GAAGAUUCAAAUUUGGAGUUAUUCAGUCAUAUUUUUAGGUCUAACGACAUUUCAAGGUAACUACUUACAACUCUUGACUUAAGUAAUUGACCAAAUUCCUUCUAUGUUGUCGUGUACGUGAAUUUAAUUAUAACAAUUAAUUUAUUCUUCCGUUGUAGUGACGAAGUUAUAAUUGAAAUUCAAAAUGGACAUCAUGUGACCCGAGGUGAGUUGAUGUCUUGAGGCCCGAAAAGUGGAUUAAUGGCGGAGUGAUGAAAGCACAAGUGUAGGAAGUAAUUCAACUUUCCUAUUUUUAUAGUCCUUGGAAUGUAGUUCGUAGUUGGUACUUGGUAGUAGGUCCCUUCUUCGGGGGAAAGUCCAACUUUACUGAACGAACACACCCCCUGCGUUCAUGUGAACAAAUACCCUGUUUGUUUGAAAAAGUAAGUUAGUUGGGCCCAUGUUUCCUAGGAACGGGCACCUUUACUCAACGAACCCA
rnacentral:lncRNA from 1 species